rnacentral:misc_RNA from 1 species
CAGGACUCGCAAGACUCCUAUAACCCUGUGAACUUACUACAAAGCACGUUGCUUCGGCGGGUGCCUCCGGGUGGUUUUCCUCCUGGAAGCGCUAAGCCCGCCGGCAGCCUACUAAAUUCUGUCUCUUUGCGUUGGCAUCUCGAGUACAAACAAAUAAGUUA